UUAAGAAGAAAAGCAACUUACUUUUUGCUCACUUUCCUUGUAGGUUUUUAUUUCACUUAUGGUACUCCCCUCAUCAACCCGUUAAAUAUUUCCCCCAGGUUCUGCUUUUGUUCUCUUCUUUCAAGAAGUCAGGUUAAAAUUGCUGUCGAUUCCACCUCUAAAAUAUCUCCCAAAUGGUUUCCCUCACUCAAUUUGUAAUAGGACUA
rnacentral:lncRNA from 10 species